rnacentral:rRNA from 1 species
GUAGGGAAUAUUGGACAAUGGGGGCAACCCUGAUCCAGCGACGCCGCGUGAGUGAUGAAGGCCUUCGGGUCGUAAAGCUCUGUUGCAGGGGAAGAACACAAUGACGGUACCCUGCUAGAAAGGAUCGGCUAACUUCGUGCCAGCAGCCGCGGUAAGACGAGGGAUCCUAGCGUUGUUCGGAAUUAUUGGGCGUAAAGCGGGUGCAGGUGGCUGGGUAAGUCAGAUGUGAAAGCCUGGGGCUUAACCCCAGAAGUGCAUUUGAUACUGCUGGGCUUGAGUGCUGGAGAUGCUAGUAGAAUUCCUGGUGUAGUGGUGAAAUACGUAGAUAUCAGGAGGAAUACCGGAGGCGAAGGCGGAUAGCUGGCCAGACACUGACACUCAGACCCGAAAGCGUGGGGAUCAAACAGGAUUAGAAACCCUUGUAGUCC